rnacentral:rRNA from 1 species
UGAGUACGAGCUGCUACGGCAGCGAAGUGGGUGAUGUCAAGCUUCCAAGAAAAGCCCUAUACCCGUUAAGGCAUGAUGGCCUGUACCCGAAACCGACACAGGUGGGGUGGUAGAGAAUACCGAGGGGCGCGAGAUAACUCUCUCUAAGGAACUCGGCAAAAUGGCCCCGUAACUUCGGGAGAAGGGGUGCCACCGCAAGGUGGUCGCAGUGAAGAGGCCCAGGCGACUGUUUACCAAAAACACAGGUCUCCGCUAAGUCGCAAGACGAUGUAUGGGGGCUGACGCCUGCCCAGUGCCGGAAGGUUAAGGAAGCUGGUCAGCGUAAGCGAAGCUAGCGACUGAAGCCCCGGUGAACGGCGGCCGUAACGAUAACGGUCCUAAGGUAGCGAAAUUCCUUGUCGGGUAAGUUCCGACCCGCACGAAAGGCGUAACGAUCUGGGCGCUGUCUCGGAGAGAGGCUCGGCGAAAUAGAAUUGUCUGUGAAGAUGCGGACUACGUGCACCCGGACAGAAAGACCCUAUGAAGCUUUACUGUAGCUUGGUAUUGUGCUCGGGCUCGGAAUGCGCAGGAUAGGUGGGAGGCUAUGAACCAUUGCUUGUGGGUGAUGGUGAGCCACUGGUGAGAUACCACUCUUUCCGAGCUAGAGUUCUAACAGCCACCCGUUAUCCGGGGGCUGGACAGUAUCAGGUGGGCAGUUUGACUGGGGCGGUCGCCUCCUAAAAGGUAACGGAGGCGCGCAAAGGUUUGCUCAGGCUGGUUGGAAAUCAGCCGACGAGUGUAAAAGCAGAAGCAAGCUUGACUGUGAGACCUACAAGUCGAACAGGGAGGAAACUCGGCUUUAGUGAUCCGACGGUUCUGCGUGGAAGGGCCGUCGCUCAACGGAUAAAAGUUACUCUAAGGAUAACAGGCUGAUCUCCCCCAAGAGUUCACAUCGACGGGGAGGUUUGGCACCUCGAUGUCGGCUCAUCGCAACCUGGGGCUGAAGUCGGUCCCAAGGGUUGGGCUGUUCGCCCAUUAAAGCGGUACGCGAGCUGGGUUCAGAACGUCGUGAGACAGUUCGGUCCAUAUCCGGUGCAUGCGCAGGAAUAUUGAGAGGAUUUCUCCCUAGUACGAGAGGACCGGGGGGAACGCACCUCUGGUGUACCAGUUAUCGUGCCAACGGUAAACGCUGGGUAGCCAUGUGCGGAGAGGAUAACCGCUGAAAGCAUCUAAGUGGGAAGCCCACCUCAAGAUGAGUAUUCCCAUGGGGUAACCCAGUAAGGUCACGGGAAGAACACCCGUUGAUAGGCUCUACGUGGAAGCGCAGUAAUGUGUGAAGCGGAGGAGUACUAAUAGACCGAGGGCUUGACC